rnacentral:rRNA from 1 species
AGCUCUUCAAGUGGUCGGGACAAUUAUUGAGCUUAAAGUGUCCGUAGCCGGUUUGGUAAGUCCCUGGUUAAAUCUGGUAGCUUAACUAUCAGUUGGCUAGGGAAACUGCCUCGCUAGAGGGCGGGAAAGGUCUGAGGUACUCCAGGGGUAGCGGUGAAAUGCGAUAAUCCUUGGGGGACCACCAGUGGCGAAGGCGUCAGACUGGAACGCGCCUGACGGUGAGGGACGAAAGCCAGGGGAGCGAACGG